GACGAACGCUGGCGGCGUGCUUAACACAUGCAAGUCGAACGGAAAGGCCCUGAUUUUGUGGGGUGCUCGAGUGGCGAACGGGUGAGUAACACGUGAGUAACCUGCCCUUGACUUUGGGAUAACUUCAGGAAACUGGGGCUAAUACAGGAUAGGAGCUCAUGCUGCAUGGUGGGGGUUGGAAAGUUUCGGCGGUUGGGGAUGGACUCGCGGCUUAUCAGCUUGUUGGUGGGGUAGUGGCUUACCAAGGCUUUGACGGGUAGCCGGCCUGAGAGGGUGACCGGCCACCUUAGGACUGAGAUACGCCCCAGACUCCUACGGGAGGCAGCAGUGGCGAGUAUUGCACAAUGAGCGCAAGCCUGAUACAGCAACGCCGCGUGCGGGAUGACGGCCUUCGGGUUGUAAACCGCUUUCGCCUAUGACGAAGCGUGAGUGACGGUAAUGAGUAAAGAAGCACCGGCUAACUACGUG
rnacentral:rRNA from 1 species